rnacentral:lncRNA from 1 species
GGAGUAUUACAUUUAAUCAUCAAGAAUUGGAAUAUAUCAAUGCACUCUCACCCCCAUUAAGUUUAAAGUAAAGUGUGUGUGUGUGUAUGUGUGUGUGUUAUUUUUAUAUUCAAGCAGUUUUACAUUAUUUUUAAAUCGGAAAUUUUUUUCUCUUUGCAACAGGGUUUUUUUCUUAAAAUGUAGCCUUUAUGAUAUAUUCUAAAUGUUUUGCAAUCAAAUUUUCAUCUCAUUUUAUAUUUUUUAACUGAAAAUGCAUUAAAACUCCCCUUUUUGCUCACACCUGAUCACCAUCCACAGUGGAAAACAGUACUCCCGUGCCCAAACCCCACAUUCAGCACUGAGACCCGGAAAUGUUCCUGCUGCUUCAUCACACCAAGCAACAUUUGGUGGGGGGGGUCAUCUAUUCCCAGUUUGAAUUCCGAGUUUUGGAAUCCUACUCUACAUUUUUUAGAUUAACAGAUGUUUUGUGGUAUUUUAUGUUCCAAGAAGCAUCACUGCAAAGAUUGAUCUAUAGAUGAGUAAUGAUCAGUGAAAAGCUGACACAGAGCACAAGGUAUAAUAACUUUUAUGGUUAGGAAUCUGAUAUGCUGCCAGCAGAGUUUCUUCAAUUCACACCUCCGUUUCCUUAUUGCCUUGAUGCUUGGAUAUGGCGCAGGGAAAAUGAGAGUGAGACCGCAGAUGAAAGUCUUUUAUAACAAAAAGAGGAAAUCUUAUUGAUGAGCUGUUUCAAUCACUUAUUUUGAUAGAUGAAAAAACUAAGGCCAGUGGAAGUGAAGUGACUGGCAAAGUCUCAGAGAAAGAGAAUGGCAACUAAAAAGCUCAUAUGGAAAGUAAAGCCACAGAGUGGGUUGGGUAAUCUCAGGAGUGUAGUCUGGCGGACACAUGAAGUAGAGCAUGCAUGAAAUGUUCACAGCUACAGACAUGCUCAGAUGCACUCUCUCUUCCUUCAGUGGCAAAGGUGACCCUGAAAGAGCUUCUAACCACACAGGUGCUUUACCUUCACUUGCUCUCUCCUCUUGGCACUGGGACGUGGAGAGGAAGAGUUAGUCCCUCAAAUGAUAUUGUGACAACUACACUACAUGAAGGCCUGGGGGAAGCUAUGUUUUCUAACAUAGUGUUAUGUGUACUUACCAAAUACUUAUUGAAAGAAUGAAAGGGGGCAGCCUGGGUGGCUCAGUGGUUUAAUGCCGCCUUCAGCCCAGGGUGUGAUCCUAGAGACCCGGGAUCGAGUCCCACGUUGGGCUCCCUGCAAGGAGCCUGCUUCUCUCUCUGCCUGUCUCUGCCUCUCUCUCUCUCUCUCUGUCUCUCUCUCUCUCUCUGUCUUUCAUGAAUAAAUAAAUAAAAUCUUAAAAAAAAAGAAAGAAU